UACCUGGUUGAUCCUGCCAGUAGUCAUAUGCUUGUCUCAAAGAUUAAGCCAUGCAAGUCUAAGUACGAGCUCUCGUACAGUGAAACUGCGAAUGGCUCAUUAAAUCAGUUAUGGUUCAUUUGAUCGUACAGUUUACUUGGAUAACUGUGGUAAUUCUAGAGCUAAUACAUGCGAGAAGCGCCGACCUCGCGGGAGGCGUGCAUUUAUCAGACCAAAAACCGGCCGCGUCUUCGGGCGCGUUCGCCUUGGUGACUCUGGAUAACUUUGCGGAUCGCACGGUCUAGCACCGGCGACGGAUCAUUCAAGUGUCUGCCCUAUCAACUUUCGUCGGUACGGUAUUUGCCUACCGAGGUUCUUACGGGUGACGGGGAAUCAGGGUUCGAUUCCGGAGAGGGAGCCUGAGAAACGGCUACGACAUCCAAGGAAGGCAGCAGGCGCGCAAAUUACCCAUUCCCGACGCGGGGAGGUAGUGACGAAAAAUAACAAUGCAGGACUCGUUCGAGGCCCUGUAAUUGGAAUGAGUACACUUUAAAAGCUUUAACGAGUAUCCAUUGGAGGGCAAGUCUGGUGCCAGCAGCCGCGGUAAUUCCAGCUCCAAAAGUAUAUAUUUAAGUUGUUGCGGUUAAAAAGCUCGUAGUUGGAUUUUGGGCGCAGGCGGCCGGUCCGUCGCAAGGCGUGUACUGGACGUCCUGGCCUUCCCUCCGGUUCUCCGCCGGUGCUCUUGACUGAGUGUCGGCGGCGGCCGGAACGUUUACUUUGAAAAAAUUAGAGUGUUCAAAGCAGGCUCUCGAGCCUGGAUAAUGGUGCAUGGAAUAAUGGAAUAGGACCUCGGUUCUAUUUUGUUGGUUUUCGGAGCGCGAGGUAAUGAUUAAGAGGGACAGACGGGG
rnacentral:ncRNA from 1 species